UACGUAGGGGCCUAGCGUUGUCCGGAUUCACUGGGCGUAAAGGGUGCGUAGGUGGCCAGGUAAGUUCGGUGUGAAAGCUCGGAGCUUAACUCCGAAAUGUCAUUGAAUACUAUCUGGCUGGAGGGUCGGAGGGGAGACUGGAAUUCUCGGUGUAGCAGUGAAAUGCGUAGAUAUCGAGAGGAACACCAGUGGCGAAGGCGAGUCUCUGGACGACUCCUGACACUGAGGCACGAAAGCCAGGGGAGCAAACAGG
rnacentral:rRNA from 1 species